rnacentral:lncRNA from 1 species
UUAAGUCUCUUAUGAUAAAUGAAACGUAUGAUCUACCAAAUCUUCAAGCGCCUAUUAUUUGACCAAGUCCUCAAUUGAGAGGAGGAGGAACUUCCAGCUAAAUUUUUAGCAUGGUGUUUUAAGUUUCUUGGCACUAUGAAUUAAGUUAGAUGUUCAACGCUUAUAAUCUUUAACAAAGUUGAAUGACUUGAAUCUAUCGUUUGUUACAUUGGAACCAACAUAAUCAAUGAAAUGUCAUAUAUGAUGAGUAGUUCUAAAUGUUUAAUUAGUUAGUAUAUAAAUCCUAUAUAACAAAAUUAGAUUACAUAUUUCUUAUCAUGCUUGUUUGUGUCCUGUAGCUUUCAAAUUCUGUUUUCUGUCACUGGGAUGCCCAAAAGUCUGCUUAUCUCAGUAAACUUGUGUAGGUAAGAUAAUUCAAGCAAACUUGUGCAUCAAUAUUUGAGUUGAUUUCCCAGAUGGUCACUCAACUAAUAGUUAUUAUCUCCACCUUCUUGUGUGAAAACACAGAGAAAAAUGACAUUGCCAAAAAAUUAACAUGGUAAAUUUUCCAUUUAUUAUCAAAAGAAACAUCCCUUUUGAAGCCACGUCCAUGUAAAAUAAACCCUGGACUCCCCUUCCACCCAAGUGGUGUAUUCUCUCCUUAUGGAGUCUAAGAAAAGAGAUAUAUCCUUAAGCAGACGGAAUAUCAAUGUCCUUAAGAAUUCUAAAAAGAUCAAUACUCACUUUCUUGUUGGAGAAAAUUGGAAUAAAGAAGAAAGGGUUACCAUCUGAGAAUUCAACUCAUCAAUACUUCCCUAAAGAAUUUAUAAACUACAUGGUGAAAAAGAUUAAAUUGGAUAAAGAAACUUAUAAUGUCCAAAAUCAACAUAAGCAGCUAAAAGAAACAAUUAAACAACUCAGAAAAUCACAUACUUGGAAAGGAGAAGAAGAAACAAAUUACCAGUCGUAAUCAGUUUUAUCAUUGUCAGCACUAAGGAACUCAUCAGUACGAGUCUUCCGCAGGGGUGCAGCUGAUGCAAUAAUAAAUGCAGGUGAACUACCACUUUUUGAUCUUGCAAUAAGAUAUAUUGAAAUAAAAAAUACAUAUAUGAACUUUAGGUUAUGAAGCAGAAAUCACAAAUUCCUCACUAGUUGGACACAUUUAUAUGAUGUCCAUAAAGACUAAAAAUAUUUUUGGAACUUGAAGUGGAAAUGCACCUUCAAAAAACCAACUUCAACUUGAAAUUUAUUCUUUAUGCUGUCAAUUUGAACAAAGAAAGGUCAAUAAAUGGAAGGAAGACAAAAAAAAAACUUACCAAGGGGAUCAAAUUCGUUGGAUUUUUGAAGAAAUCGAUUAUUAUUUCUGUCAUUUUCCCUUCUUCGCAUUUCUAGAAACAAUGAUAGUUCCUCAUCUGAACUCCUAAUACUCCCCAUUAGAGGCUGUCUCUGCCUCUGCCCCGGGCCCAAUAAGAUGUUACUCCCUUUGUUUCAUUUUUUAUGAUCAACUCUUUUAAACACCUUAAAACAAGAAGAAAAGAAUUCUUAAAGAAAUCUAUAUAUAUAAAAAUAAAUUGGUAUUAAGAUUAUAUGAGAGUAUAUGGAUAUUUUAGCAUAAUAAUGAAAGUUGUCAAGUUUUUGAAACUUUUAAAAUGGUAACAUAUAAAAUUGAAAAAGAAGGGAGUAGCAAGUGCUUUAUUUUUAUAAAGUUAUAUAUGUGCUUACAAGAAGUCGACUAUAGCCUGUCUUUUUUCAUCAUUUCCUAAAAGGCCAACACGUACCUAGCCCUGCUUGGAGAGACGAUUCCUUUUAAGCUAUGCUUCACACAUUGACUCCUCCACUUGUCAUGGUUGAAAUCAAAGUGAUGUACAUAUAAAAAGUAUUUAAAGAAGUGAGAAUAUGUAUGUCCUAAAAGUUAAAUUAAUUAAAAGAAAAAAAUAAAACAAUAAAGUAAGAAAGGUUUUCAUAUAAAUAGACUAACGAGACAAGAUGGUAAAAUAGAUUAUGACAUAGUUAACAAAAACAUACAUUGGGUGAUUAUUCUAUCAAAGUUCAUUAAUUAUCUUAGGACUAUUUUUUGACACGACUUGAACGUGCUUUGUGAAAUGUGAAUCUUAUUUAAAGAUAGUGUAACUUUAGACUAAUCAAUUUCCCAUAUAUAAAAGUUAGUGAAUCAUUGUAAUUUGAAAUUGAUAUUCAUGCCUAAUACAAAAGAUUUUUACUUUAAACAGUUGGUCAGUUUUGAUAACAUUCAAAAAUAUAAAAGGCUUCAUCGAAAGUACUUAGCAUAAACACAUAAUUACAAAAACAAUAAUAUCAUCAAACAAAAAUAAAUGUAAUUUUCAAAAGUGAAAUUUGAAGAGGGAUAGAGAUAGAGUGUACACAUAUCAUAUCCGUAUUUCUUAGACAUAAAGAAAUUAUUUCCAAUAAACACCAAACUUAUAAUAAAGCAUAUUCCAACAAAUAGGAAAAAGAAAAUUUGGGUAAAUGAGAAUUGUAGCAACAACAAGAUAAGUUUCACACAUGAUUAAGAAUUAAAAUCAAUCUAGUAGUUUUGCUAGGACGCAAAAACCCCAAAUAAAAAGGCAUGUAUGAAUAAUUGAAUAGAGAGUUACACAUCAUUUAGAUAAUCCAAUAAGUUGCUAGAAAAAUUUAUAUGAUGACAGAAAAUAUACUCUGCUUACAAUAAGUUCUUUGCUACCAAAACUAACUAAACUAAGAUAGUAUAAAAGAAUAAUAAAAUAUGUAAAUACAAGUGAAACCAAAUUAAAAAUAUGAUUAUAACUAGAUUUUGUUAAAUACAAGUGAAACCUAAUUAAAAAUAUGAUUAUAACUAGAUUUUGUAAAAAUGCUUGAGCAUGAUAGUAAUUGAACUUUGAAAAUGAUUAUUUAUAAGUACUUAAUAAAGGUGAAUAAAUACAAAGACAGUAAUAAAAAACCUAUCAUUAACUACUUUAUUUAUGAAUUUCAUACUAAUAGAAAUAUCUAAGAUAGAACUUGGAACUUACUAUCCUCUUGCCUAGCAGACAAAGAUUUACUUCCAUGGAAAGGCUGAUUUAUGCGGAUCGACAUGAGAGUCCAACUAUAUUGCCAUAAUCCAUGUUGUAUAUUUGAAAGAGGUUGACCUCCUUACUUAUUUCAUGUUAUACUCCUCUUCCCGCCAAACCCCUUUUCUCCUCAGUACACUAAGACAAAAUGUAGGACUGGUGUCAAUAAUUCAUCACGGUCCGCAUGUAACAAAUGAUACAAUGAUAAUUACGCAAUAUAAUAACAACAAAAUAAAGCAUAGAACACAUAUUUUUAGCACAAAAGUAGACAAAGAUAGCUUAAAAAAUAUUUUGGCCUCACAAAUUAAAAGACGCUCGUAAAAAAAUGAAAAUGAAGGAUAAAAUUGGGUGUCAACAAUUAUUUUUUUAUUGAGAUAAAACUUCACAUAUUUUUGCCUGAAUUGUUGUUUUAUGAAAGCCAAAUAUAAAGUAAUUUUGCCCGUAAUUUUGGUAUGGCUUACUAAGGUCAACUAUAACACUUAACAAAUUUGAAUUAGAUUUGAGUCAUUAAAUUUCAUUGCUUUGACUGAGCUAUGCUAAAGCAAAUGUAAAUAUAUGUAAAAGCUAAUAUCUUAUCAUGCACAUGGUGUACAAAAAGGUUGAAAUCAAAGAGAAUUUAAAAUACGGAAAAGGGUCAAAAUUGCCCCUGAACUAUGCGAAAUAGACCACUUAUACCCUCCAUUACAUUUUGGGAUCAAAAUACCCCCGCCGUUAUCCUAGGAGACCACAAAUACCCUUAAGAGUUAACACCCCAAAUUUUUAGUGAUGUGGCAAGCCACAUGGGACUAAUCCCUCCACCUAAGCAUUGCCAACUAAGAUUCACUACAAAAGAACUUGACCUUUUGUCACGACCCAAUUUCUCAAGUAAUGAUGGCACCUACUAUAACCCACCNNNNNNNNNNNNNNNNNNNNNNNNNNNNNNNNNNNNNNNNNNNNNNNNNNNNNNNNNNNNNNNNNNNNNNNNNNNNNNNNNNNNNNNNNNNNNNNNNNNNUCUAAAUGUUUAAUUAGUUAGUAUAUAAAUCCUAUAUUACAAAAUCUUAUCAUGCUUGUUUGUGUCCUGUAGCUUUCAAAUUCUGUUUUCUGUCACUGGGAUGCCCAAAAGUCUGCUUAUCUCAGUAAACUUGUGUAGGUAAGAUAAUUCAAGCAAACUUGUGCAUCAAUAUUUGAGUUGAUUUCCCAGGUCACUCAACUAAUAGUUAUUAUUCCCACCUUCUUGUGUAAAAGCACAGAGAAAAAUGACAUUGCCAAAAAAUUAACA